CAGGUAGGAGGAGGUGAGUCCUACAUAGCAGGGUAUGAUGGAGAGGGGUAAGGAAGACAGAGUGCAGUAUAGUCAGCUGAAAGGCAAGACAAGAUAGACAGAACAGGGAAUACAGAUCAUCUGGCAAAGAGAUUUGCAGAGUGUCGGGUGACCGGCAAAGAGAUCUGCAAAGUGUCAGUUGAAGACGACGGGAGGGGUCGCAGAGGUAGCAACGACUGGUGUAUAACAUGCAGGAGAUCAUCAUUUGGCAAAGUUCUGGCAAAGAGAUUUGCAGAGUGUCGGGUGACCGGCAAAGAGAUCUGCAAAGUGUCAGUUGAAGACGACGGGAGGGGUCGCAGAGGAAUUAGUGACUGGAGAAUAGCAUGCAGGAGUGGGUGAUCCCUGAAUAGCUGCCCUGGGAGGAGAUCUGCGGACACAUGUUCCAAAUGUUGGGACAUAUGCAUUACCUAUUAGGAGAUGCGGUUAAGAUGCCGGCUGUCAGGUUUACGGCAGUCAGAAUACUGACACUGGGAUCCCGACACUCUUCAGAAUCUGGACGUUGGAACUCCGAAUGGGCAAGGAUACAGACGCCCGUAUCCCCAUAAUCAUAGGUUUAGUGCUGGGCAAGGGGGGUUAG